CAACCCAGCUGGCAGCCUGGCCACAGGGCUGUGGUCCCUCUCCUGCGGCUGGCGCGGCAGCUGCGAGUGGGCUCUGCGUGUCAGUGCCCACCCCAACCUGGAUGGGGACACACACAUGGGCCAGUCUGGAAGGAAACCCUGUUCAAGAAGCUAUUUUCUGAACAUCCCUCUACGCCCUGGAUUUCACAACCUGCGUGCGUUGAGAUGGAGAGAUGGAGCCUCGUGCCCUCGGGGCAGCUAUCAUCUGGGAGUUAAAUGCUAUGAGGAAGCACUUCUAGCUUCUGUGUGACUUCACCAGAGAGACAGAAAAGGCACCUUCAAAUGACGGCAAGUGUGUUCCAAGAGUGUCUGACUGCCUCUCCUUGGAAGUCACAAGUCACUUCUGCUCCAUUCCAUUAGUCACAAGGCCCUUCCAGAAGGAGUGGGGAAAUAAGAUGCCACUUGUUGAUGGAAAGAGCAGCAAAGCCAUGCGACCAAGGAGGGCGGGCCCAGGAAGCUGAGUCAUCAUUCUAGCAAUCUGCUUCGAUGAUGUGGCCAAUUCUUGGCAGAGGCAGAACUUGAACCCAAGACUCCUGAUUUUGUUUUCUGAGACAGCAUGCUGCUGCGACAUCCCGUGGGACUUCCUGGCAUAUCAUGCAUUUUCCAGAAGUCUCCCUAAUCUAAUGACAGGCUUAUUCUCUCUCUCUCCCUUUCCCCAUCCUCUCCUUGCUUCUUUCCUUCACAGGAUCUCCAUGAUUUGUAAUCCUGUAGGUAUGCAUUUCAUGUCAAUCUUUCCACUGUUUUG